GAUGAACGCUAGCGGCAGGCUUAAUACAUGCAAGUCGAGGGGCAGCAGGAAUAGCAAUAUUUGCUGGCGACCGGCGCACGGGUGCGUAACACGUAUACAAUCUGCCUUUAACAGGGGGAUAGCCCGGAGAAAUCCGGAUUAAUACCCCAUAAUACAUGAAGCGGCAUCGCUUUAUGUUGAAAGCUCCGGCGGUUAAAGAUGAGUAUGCGUCUGAUUAGCUAGUUGGUGAGGUAACGGCUCACCAAGGCGACGAUCAGUAGGGGAUCUGAGAGGAUUAACCCCCACACGGAUACUGAGACACGGAUCCGGCUCCUACGGGAGGCAGCAGUAAGGAAUAUUGGACAAUGCCCGCAAGGGUGAUCCAGCCAUGCCGCGUGCAGGAAGACGGCCCUAUGGGUUGUAAACUGCUUUUACACCGGAGAAAACCUCCCCUCGUGAGGGGAGCUGAUAGUAUGGUGAGAAUAAGCAUCGGCUAACUUCGUGCCAGCCGCCGCCGUAACAC
rnacentral:rRNA from 1 species